rnacentral:rRNA from 1 species
UACGAAGGGGACUAGCGUUGUUCGGAAUCACUGGGCGUAAAGCGCACGUAGGCGGUUUUGUAAGUCAGGGGUGAAAUCCCGGGGCUCAACCUCGGAACUGCCUUUGAUACUGCGAAUCUAGAGUCCGAUAGAGGUGGGUGGAAUUCCUAGUGUAGAGGUGAAAUUCGUAGAUAUUAGGAAGAACACCGGUGGCGAAGGCGGCCCACUGGAUCGGUACUGACGCUGAGGUGCGAAAGCGUGGGGAGCAAACAGG